GGCUGGUCCAAUGGUAGUGAGUUAUCAGAACUUAACAUUAGUGUCACUAAAAUUGGCAUUCAACCCCUUCACUGCUAAAUUUGACUGGCUUUAA
rnacentral:Y_RNA from 1 species